AGGAUAAACGCUGGCGGCGUGCAUGAGACAUGCAAGUCGAACGGACGAUCAGGGCUUGCUCUGAUCGUUAGUGGCGGACGGCUGAGUAACGCGUAGGUGACCUGCCCCGAAGUGGGGAAUAACUGCCCGAAAGGGUGGCUAAUACCGCAUGUGGUGGUGUGUUCAUUCACACCAGUAAAGCCGCAAGGCGCUUCGGGAGGGGCCUGCGUCCGAUUAGCUCGUUGGUGGGUAACGGCUCACCAAGGCGACGAUCGGUAGGUGGUCUGAGAGGACGAUCACCCAGACUGGGACUGAGACACGGCCCAGACUCCUACGGGAGGCAGCAGUCGGGAAUUUUGCGCAAUGGACGAAAGUCUGACGCAGCAACGCCGCGUGAGGGAUGAAGGCCUUCGGGUUGUAAACCGUCUUUUAUCAGGGAAGAUAAUGACGGUACCUGAUGAAUAAGUCACGGCUAACUACGUGCCAGCAGCCGC
rnacentral:rRNA from 1 species